rnacentral:rRNA from 1 species
GACAGAGGUGCCAAGCGUUAGGCGGAAUCACUGGGCUUAAAGCGUGUGUAGGCGGACAAUUAAGUACCUUGUGAAAUCCCACGGCUUAACCGUGGAACUGCUGGGUAUACUGGUUGUCUUGAGCCACUUAGGGGCGAGCGGAACAAAUGGUGGAGCGGUGAAAUGCGUAGAUAUCAUUUGGAACGCCAAUGGUGAAAACAGCUCGCUGGGAGUGUGCUGACGCUGAGACACGAAAGCCAGGGUAGGCGAACGGG